GAUGAACGCUGGCGGCGCGCCUAACACAUGCAAGUCGAACGGUUAAAGCACCUUUUAGGUGUGUAUAAAGUGGCGAACGGCUGAGUAACACGUGGGCAACCUGCCCUCCUCUUGGGGAUAGCCUCGGGAAACCGAGGAUAAUACCCGAUACUUCAAUGUGGCCGCAUGACGACAUUGAAAAAGCUUUUGCGGAGAAGGAUGGGCCCGCGGCCUGUUAGCUUGUUGGUGGGGUAGAGGCCUACCAAGGCAAUGAUGGGUAGCUGGGUUGAGAGACCGACCAGCCAGAUUGGGACUGAGACACGGCCCAGACUCCUACGGGAGGCAGCAGUGGGGAAUCUUGCACAAUGGGCGAAAGCCUGAUGCAGCGACGCCGCGUGCGGGACGAAGGCCUUUCGGGUUGUAAACCGCUUUCAGCAGGGACGAGGCGAAAGUGACGGUACCUGCAGAAGAAGCCCCGCUAACUACCA
rnacentral:rRNA from 2 species